rnacentral:rRNA from 1 species
GUGCCAGCCGCCGCGGUAAUACGGAGGGUGCGAGCGUUAAUCGGAAUGACUGGGCGUAAAGCGCGCGUAGGCGGCGUGAUCAGCCGGUUGUGAAAGCCCCGGGCUCAACCCGGGAACCGCAUCCGGAACUGUCACGCUGGAGUGCAGGAGAGGAAGGUAGAAUUCCCGGUGUAGCGGUGAAAUGCGUAGAGAUCGGGAGGAAUACCAGUGGCGAAGGCGGCCUUCUGGACUGACACUGACGCUGAGGUGCGAAAGCAUGGGUAGCAAACAGGAUUAGAUACCCCGGUAGUCC